rnacentral:pre_miRNA from 1 species
GCAUUUUCCGUGGUAGCCUUGAUCUGCUCAUACUGACAGGCAUUAAGGCACGCGGUGAAUGUCA